AGGUUAAGUUAGAAAGGGCGCACGGUGAAUGCCUUGGCACUAGGAGCCGAUGAAGGACGGUACUAACACCGAUAUGCUUCGGGGAGCUGUAAGUAAGCUUUGAUCCGGAGAUUUCCGAAUGGGGAAACCCCCUAUCCGUAAUGGGAUAGGAUCUUUACCUGAAUACAUAGGGUAUAGAAGGCAGACCCGGGGAACUGAAACAUCUAAGUACCCGGAGGAAGAGAAAGCAAACGCGAUUCCCUGAGUAGCGGCGAGCGAAACGGGAUUAGCCCAAACCAAGAGGCUUGCCUCUUGGGGUUGUAGGACACUCUACACGGAGUUACAAAGGAACGAGGUAAAUGAACAGGUCUGGAAAGGCCGGCCAGAGAAGGUAAAAGCCCUGUAGUUGAAACUUCGUUCCCUCCAGAGUGGAUCCUGAGUACGGCGGGACACGAGAAAUCCCGUCGGAAGCAGGGAGGACCAUCUCCCAAGGCUAAAUACUCCCUAGUGACCGAUAGUGAAC
rnacentral:rRNA from 1 species